GACGAACGCUGGCGGCAUGCUUAACACAUGCAAGUGGAGCGACGAACCAGGCUUCGGCCUGGGGCAAAGCCGCGAACGGGUGAGUAACACGUGGGUAACCUGCCUCGAUGACCGGGACAACCCGAGGAAACUCGGGCUAAUACCGGAUGUGCUCCCACCACAUCAGUGGUGUGAGUAAAGAUAGCUUCGGCCUUCGCAUCGAGAUGGGCCCGCGGCGCAUUAGCUUGNGGUGGGGUAACGGCCUACCAAGGCUACGAUGCGUAGCUGGUCUGAGAGGACGAUCAGCCACACUGGGACUGAGACACGGCCCAGACUCCUACGGGAGGCAGCAGUGGGGAAUCUUGCGCAAUGCGCGAAAGCGUGACGCAGCAAUGCCGCGU
rnacentral:rRNA from 1 species